UUUAUACUUGUAUGAAUUUGAAAAAUCUACGCAUCCUCUCUGUAAGUGAUUUUUGCUGUUUCUUGACAUGACCACCAUCAAUGCGUUAUCUUGACAAAUAUUCAGCAAUGUGUAUGAGUGUGUAGACAUGAAUACAGGGCCGCGGUCGACACCCCGCCGUGCCUUGGGCGGGGCAAAUUCCCCUGACAACGCGGACAAAAGCAUAGCAACCGUACCACCGUGUGUCACGAGAUAACAUCGUGAGGACCAGGUCGCCGCUGUAAUUAUAACCAUAUGGACAGGGGUCGGGUUGGCCUGGCCGUGUGACGUGGCAGCCAAGACAGAACACGACGCGAGAGAGGACGUGGAUGUUUACAGAGUAAUGUACAGCGUAGAGUACAGAGGGCUGGGAAACAGAAUGAAGUUGAUCAGUUUAACACGUAUAUGGCUGUCACCCGUAUUUGAACGCGCACGUGACAUUCUGGUAGUACUGCUGGGCUGGAGUUCAACCAAGAUAGAGACGGGAACAGAGAGAUCGAGAGAACUGAGGACGUGGCAAGGGUACUGGGCCUGUGAUGGGUGGCGCGCGGGGCAGGGAGGAAGAAAUAACACAUAAAGAUGCCCGCCGAUCCCUGACCCUGAAGAGAACGCCAGCUCGGAGAAAUCUUCCAUACUACUGUAUUGACACUCGGGGAGCGGGGCAAGAUGCGGCGGGUACGGGCGGUGGCAUAAGGCGGGAAAGAGAUCUCAAGACUACUCGUCAGAAGGAAAGCUACAACGCCGCAGGGGUACGUACUUGACGAUUACGUCAGACGAUGGCGGUUCCAGUAGGUCAAUGUUCGAAGCAGCUGCGGGUAAACGUCUUCGGUAUGUCGUCAAGGCCAACCUACCGGACAAGAGCGACGACGACGAGGUGUUCCUGACAGACAUAUAUUAUGUCCAUCAGAACGACACAUUCCCACCACACCCAACAUAGAGACUCUUACCGCCACAAGGGAAGUAGGUCGAGCCCCUUCACGAAAAGUGGCCAUCGCUGAGAGGAGCCAGAAUAUACGUUUGUGCGGCUUGAACAUUCUUAACAGAAGGGAGCCACACAACAUCCAGAACAGCGCCAUCGACAGAAGGAAGGCACUGUGAGGGAAGUAGAGGCCAGUAGCAGAGCCAAGACGUACAGCCGAUAGUUGUGAUCGUACUUGUCCAUGUAUAGAAAACCUGACAUGACACCAGUUAUAGAAUUCACGGAUUGACUGACUGUUUAUAUCACGAAUAUGUAUUUUAGUGUAUACAUUGUAGUAGUUGAUUUUACAUGUAUAUGAAUGGACCGUAGAUGAAAUAACCGUUGUUUUGUGGUUUGACAAGACCUGUCUGUUUGAUACGCCAAAAUGUGACCACGAGAUAUAAUGUAUUUGUAUGACAGAUAGUCAGAGAGUAAAGAUCAGAAGAGAAAUAAAGAUCCUCAGCUAAGACCGAGGUUAGCGAGGUCAGCAUUACUAGUAUAUAGUAACGUCAAACCACCUUAACAGUCUCCCGUGCCCAGUGUAC